ACUUAUAAGACUUUAAGUUAAAGGUUGUUGACUGCUACUGGUCUGGUUGUUUUCUGUGUUGGCAGAUUUUCCAAUACCUUUCUUUCAAACCUUGGCCCGGAAUUUUGGACUCCAGGAUUCGUUCUGCUUCCUGCAAGUGGGAACAGCUGCAGUGUUCCAAUUACAUCUCAGUCCCAAGCGCCUCAAGGACACUGCUCUUCUGCAAAGUGUUGCAGGCAUCCUCACUCCUUGGAAAAGCUUAUUUCUUCAGAUGGGAGUUCAGAAGCGUUGGGCCAGAGCAAAAUGAGCAUUUUGUCAUUAGUGUGCUGCUGUUAAGACGGGAACAGCUCAUCCUGUGUGCCCGUGUAUAAUGGAAGUGUCUGCUUCUGGUAACUGCUGUUUGUCCAUGAUGACUCGGGUGAGCACCUUGUCACUGUUGUGUCUUGGAUCCAUCCCUGCAUUUUGCAGGGUCUGGAUCUUGGUAUGCCGGCUAGUGGAAGAAGCAAGGGAGAACUUCAGUAAGAAAAGUCCUUUAAACUGCUUUCAAGAAGAACAUUUCAUUAAAGCAUUUAUUUCUCUUUUCAACACCGGUGCCUGGAAAACCAUUUAUUUUGAUCUGUGAGACUUUAUUUAGAUUAACAGUUACCCUAAAACCAUAAUAGCCAUUAUAAAAUAUGAUCGUUCUCAUCUUAAGAGUUUGGGAGUAAUUGGAUUUGUCUGGGCUGCUGCUGGUGAAGUGCUCACCUCCCAACACCUGGGACCAGCAGUGCUUAAUUGGACCUCAGCUGCGCAGCACAGCUACGCUUCCCUCUGGCUGCAGCAGCAGGAGGGAGCAGGCGUUCACAGGCUGAUUAGCUGUUGCUGGUCCGGUUGAUGAUUUUCUCUUUCCAGCUAUUUUCUCGAGUUUGUAAUGCUGUGAAAGAACUGCACUGGAAAACAAACAGAAGAAAAUGUGCCAUCAUGCCUUAGCAAGAGGAGAGCCUGAGUUUGGACACUCCAUGUUUCUUCUUGAUGUUCUGAGAUGCUAAUGUGGGCCUCACAUACCAUGGAAGCCUUUCUGGUGGAGGACUGUAAAUCUUUAAAGGGAGAUAACGAUAGAAUUGCUGAUGCGACCUGAUUAUAUCAGUGUGAAUGGGACUGCCAAAAUACAAUUAAAGAAACAGCUUAUAUUCUCUGUCUUGUAGGCAGGAUACAAUUGUUCAUGUCAUUACCACACUUGUUAUUUUCCUGGUGACAAUUGAUUUAACGUACUGUUUGGAAAACGUAUGUGCUUAUUCUCUCAGUGCUGAUUUAUGAUGUGAUAAGAAAGUGCCAAACUUCUUAGCAAUAAAAGAGGUUCUGUGCAGUGUGGUAU
ensembl:lncRNA